UCCGACGCAACGCGAAGAACCUUACCUGGGCUCGAAAUGCAGUGGAAGCAGGAUGAAAGUCCGGUGCCCGCAAGGGCCGCUGUAUAGGUGCUGCAUGGCUGUCGUCAGCUCGUGUCGUGAGAUGUUGGGUUAAGUCCCGCAACGAGCGCAACCCUCAUCUUUAGUUGCCAGGCCGCAAGGCGGCACUCUAAAGAAACUGUCGGCCACAAGCCGAAGGAAGGUGGGGAUGACGUUAGUGACCUUUGC
rnacentral:misc_RNA from 1 species